GAUGAAGAACGCACCGAAAUGCGAUACGUAGUGUGAAUUGCAGAAUUCAGUGAAUCAUCGAAUCUUUGAACGCACAUUGCACCUCUCGGUAUUCCGGGAGGUAUGCCUGUUCGAGCGUCAUUUGUACCCUCAAGCUCUGCUUGGUGUUGGGUGUUUGUUCCGCCUCUGUGUGUGAACUCGCCUCAAAACAAUUGGCAGCCGGCGUACUUGUUUCGGAGCGCAGCACAUUUUGCGAUCCAGAUCAACGUACAGCGGCAUCCAAGAAGCCUUAUUUAACGCUCUUGACCUCGGAUCAGGUAGGGAUACCCGCUGAACUUAAGCAUAUCAAUAAGCGGAGGA
rnacentral:misc_RNA from 1 species